UCAGAUGUGGUGUAAUGGGAACACGGCCUCUAAUGUUAAGCAUGCCUCUUCAUAACUUCAGAGGUAGUCCAGGGUUCGCAUCCCUGGCGUCUGAA